GGAUGACAAUGUGGGCAUCAAUUUCGAAUUAAAAAACUAGAUAUUACCAAAUAUGUUUAUCUUGUUAGGAAUGUAGUCUCCGUUAUGUGUUAUUUUGACCUCCCAUACUUACGAUUUUCUCAGUCGGCUUUAUUGUGUGCUGUAUUUAUGUCAUGUCAGUAGUACUUUAUGUUGGUCCUACUCCUUGGGCUUGGAUCUCUUUGCUAUUUGC
rnacentral:misc_RNA from 1 species